CGGGAGGAGCAGAAGGUGUUCUGGGCAGAGACCCUCUACGGGUUGAAGAUGCAGAUCAGGCAGGGGGAGGAGGGGGGGGAUGCUGCAGGACUAGAGAGACGCUUGGCAGAUGGUGCAGCCCGAGCAGGCCUGGUGCCGGGGAGCUGGACGUCCCCAGCCCCGGCCCGGGCGAGGGUUCAGAAGCAGGGGUGGGGCAGCAAGGAGGGGACGAUGGUUAGGUGGCCCGCGGGCGGGCGCCCAAGGUCGGGGCGGGCAGAGGGAAGGGCAGGUGGGGAAGAUGAGACGGGUCUGGUGUCCAGCCCUCUGGGACAAUCAAUCGGCCAGACCCUCGACAGCCCUCCCGCUUCCGGGCACGCUGUGGGAGAGCAGUGCCUCCGGCCGCAGGCCCUUGGCUUCUGGGAGAGGGAGGGAGCCGGGGACACCAGACCUGGCCGCUUCAGCUGCCUGCCUACGAUCCGCGGCUUCGGUGACAGGGGCACAAGGUGGCACCUCCCCACAGCAGGACAGCAUUUGGUAGCAAAAGCCAGGAAGCCUACUAGGCGCCGGGUGCUGUGCUGGGCAAGCACCGGCCCCGGCGAUUAUGGAUGCUGUCAUACGACAGAACAGCAGUGACAGGUGACCCCGCCGGGAUCACGCUUCUAACCACGACACUGCGCUGCCUGGAGCCCAGCUCCUGUCUCGUGGCUGUCCUGCGGCUCCCCAGAUGCCGUGCGGGUCUCUGGGGUCUCACCUCCUUUUGUUUGCUCUGCUCUGGACUGGUCCAGAGAGCGGCCCGUCUCACGCUCCAGUGAUAGGUAUCACCUCCCGUCUUGAGAAUGCUCUGCCUCUAUUAACCCAGCCUCUGCUGGCUUGCGUCUCCCCAGCUGAGUCACACAACAGAUCCGCACUGAUCCUAGGAUGAACUGAGAGCCCCGGCCCCAGCUCCCUCAAGAAGUGCCUUUUCCCAGCCCAGCGGCCCUUUCUAGAAUUCACCAAAACAGCAGUCGACCUCUAAGAACAGGAGGGCCUUAUUUCCUACACGCUCUUCUGUAGGGUGGUAUCCUGAACAUCUGGAGCCAGCGAAAGCGAGGAGGGUGACCAGAGGCCUGGGCUGCGCCCUCCAGGGGACAGCAGGUGCUCCCAGCCCUGUUUGGUCUCACCCUGCACAGAGCCGUCUCCUCCGCCUCUCUUUUUCCUUCCUGACUCCCUGCCUCCAGCACGCACAUUCCUUGACCCCUUGUCUGUGUGUGACCGCACCCCCCCCCCCGGGGAAAUGGAGGAGAUCCCAAGGCCUCAGACCUGUCCCCAGGGAGUCCCUGCCAGAGAUGAACCAGGGCUCAGAUUGUUUGAUGACUGAGCGUCUAAACAGAUCAUUCGCUGGCUGGGACUGUGGCUGUUUUGACACCCCAGACCCUGUUAAUGUACCCCCCUCCCGUAUCAGCUAGGCCCACCUGUGACAAGCCCCUCCCUCCUUUUCCCCUUGGCCGUGACCAGGUCAGAAAUUUUUUGGAGAGCCUUCUCUGGUCCUCCUGACUUGGCCACUCACUGGUGACUCACUCGCCCGGUGAGCCUGUCUUCCCAUUCAGCAAUGCGGGACAUGAGGGUUGGCGGGGGAGCUGGGGGAGACAUCCCAGUAGGGUCUUGGGUGUGGAAGCCCCCACUCUCCAUAGCCUGAAGUUGGGGGGUCAGACAAAGAUGGGGACCCCGGCAUAUGUGCUCGGUUAGAGGGAAGCCCCAGAGGCUGCUGCUGUGGGUCCCGAGAGGGACCUGGAAACUUGUCUGCCUAUCCAGAUACAGAUGGGGACACUGAGGCCCGAGCUGGCCUGUGACAGGCUCGAGGUCACGGUGAACGAGCAUCCUAGAAGGCCGGGGGUGUUCAGGGAUAAGAUGGAGACUUGUUCACACUUCCCUGGAAAAUGAGACAAACCGUGAUCUUUUAAAACCCAGCUACAUAAUCUGAUUAUUCCUCGCUGGCAAGCAAGCCUCAGAGAAGAGCCGUGCGUCGGGAAAUUGGGCCGGGAAAGUUUGCCUCCUGCACCAGAUUCGAAGCUCCUCGGUGCCUGAUGGGCUGAGAAUAAAGUGCCACUUUCUUAGAUAUUGGCACAAAUUAAAAAUAAAGGCAAAAUCCCUCCCAUAAU